AUUGAACGCUGGCGGCAGGCCUAACACAUGCAAGUCGAGCGGAGUGGCGAACGGGUGAGUAACACGUGGGUGACCUGCCCUGCACUUCGGGAUAAGCCUGGGAAACUGGGUCUAAUACCGGAUAGUGUGGGAUGGGCCCGCGGACUAUCAGCUUGUUGGUGGGGUAAUGGCCUACCAAGGCGGCGACGGGUCGCCGGCCUGAGAGGGUAGACGGCCACAUUGGGACUGAGACACGGCGCAGACUCCUACGGGAGGCAGCAGUGGGGAAUAGUGCACAAUGGGCGGAAGCCUGAUGCAGCGACGCCGCGUGGGGGAUGACGGCCUUCGGGUUGUAAACUCCUUUCACCAUCGACGCGGUAGAUGGAGAAGAAGCACCGGCUAACUACGUGCCAGCAGCCGCGGUAAUAC
rnacentral:rRNA from 1 species